AACCAAGGUUGGCUGGUCCUGCAAUUCCAUGUUUCCAAGCCCAGCAGUGUUUUGGACCUUGGUCUACCAGCAAGAGAAGAAGACUCAAAGGGAUCCAAUACCAUGAAAGCUUUAAUAAAGAAGWAAUACUUCUUCCUGAUUCCACAUGGAAAGUGAUUUGCAAGCCACCUUUCAAGCAAUACUUACAUGAAAAUGGACAUAUACUGAGUGCUUUUGAGUUUCAUAAGUCUUGGGACUAUCAUACUGUGAUUCAGCAAAUCAGAAACGGCUUUGGCUCGACAAUUCCUCAGAAUGUCAGCCUCCAAAUUGUUAUGGGCUGUGGAAAUAAACUGAUCGCUCCAAAACUACAAGAUGGUCAACAACUGAAUGGCCAGCUGAUCCAAAAGGUCUUCAGAUCAAAGGCUUUGUAUGUCAGACCAUCACAAACUCUUCUUGAAGAUCCUGAAGAAAGGAGCACAACUACAUACCAAGUAUAUCCAGGAACAACAAGAGCCAUGGCAAGAAGUAAACAGCUCAGCACCAUAGAAAAUCCCAUCAUCCACAAUAAUGAGUUGGAGAGCCGACCACAAACGAGCCGCUGAAGAGAGAUCCAGGAAGUAGUUACAAGAAGGAACUAAUAGAUUGCCUGAAAAGUUUAGAGCAGGACAAGGCUAUCAGUCGGAUUCUGUAUCAUAGAUUUUACCCAGUUUGCUGCUCCCACAUUGAAUCCUGGGAUAGCCUCGGCUGGUGAGGGUACACAGAUGCGUCCUCGGAUUUCGAGAGUUUGUCAGUCACAUUCCUCGGCCGCAUGAGGAACCUUUGAAUUGGGACAGUACUCCACGCGGGGAAGUGACAAAUGACAACUGGAAGGGUAAGAGUCAGGCCUUGUUAUAGUUAUGCUAUUUUAAGUCUCAAUCUUCAAUCAGAGGGUCUUUAUUAUCUAAUCAAAUGUGCUUAGUCCUUCCUGUUUCUCUCUGGAGCAGGGUCUUUAUCUGUGUCAUCUUCUUACUGAUCUGAAAGUGUCUUGGCCACCUCCUCUGCUUGUCUAACCUGAUAGCUACUGUGUUUCCCACAUCCGAUUCUGAGGUGAGGUGAGAAGAAUGCCAGUCUUCCAUCUGACAAUCCAUAUGUGCUGGGACCCACUUGCUUUUGGUAUAUUACUGGGUCUGCAAAUCUACAGAUUUCCAAAUACAAAUAUACAGAUGUUCUGACAUACACAAUGUUCUGCUCUUUCAAAAAGGCGAAAAAUACAGCAGAUAUCAGCUGUGGACCAUUGUCAGCCACAACAUAUUCUGGGUUGCCAUAGUCACUAAAGGCAGUGUUGAGAAUGUCCACCAUCAAGUUCCACUUCCGGCCACAUGGAAUAACACAUGUCUAGACUAACCUUAGUCCAUGGUCCAACAGCCCAGGGAACUGGUUGUAGAGGUGCAGCAACAGUCUUUGAUCCAUGAAGUACUAAGUAAUCAUGCUUACUCAGUUCACAUAUCCUGGCAUUUGGUUGCAACUCUGAAGUCAAAGGUUUUGAAGAAGGAGGCCACCCAAUUUUGAUCUGUGCAUACAGGGCAGAGAGUUCUGUGCACCCCAUAGAAGCAGACUUGAACUCAUCAAGUAUAAUGGUAGCUUGUGCUGUAGUGAGCACUGCAACCAACUCAGGCUCCAUCUCUGGCACGGACAUGGUAGUUGUAGUUAGUGGAAAUCUAGAUAAACUGUCUGCGGUUUGGUUAUGUGUGCCUGCUCAGUAAACCACAUGGUAGUUGAAGCAUAGUAAUCAUGCYGACCAUCUGGCAAUAUGUAGUCCUGCCCUGUCAGCACUUUUGGUUCAUAGUAGUGUUGUAAGGGCCUGUGUUCCCACAGGUACGUUAUCCACUUUUCAAUGGCCCAAACACAGGCCAAAGCUUCAUUUUCUCUACAAUUGCAUAUUUCCUUUCAGCCCAUGUAAGGGUCCUUCAAGAAAAUUYCACUCUUCGUUCAAUAGUGUUUGGGCGAAUCUGUGUGAAAACGGUGCCUAUGCUGUAGUCUGAGGCAUCAGUGGAAACAAUUCUUGGUAAAGCUGGGCUGUACAAGGCUAGUGCUGAACUACUCAGCAGUAGCUGUUUGACUUCACCUAAGCAUUUAUCAGCUUCAGCCAUCCAUUUGUACUCAGAGUCAUUGCAGAGGCAGGCACAAAAUGGGUCAACCACCAUGGCAUGAUUGGAUAUGAAUUUGUUGUAUCUAAAAAGCAUUUCCAGAAAGGAACGCAGUGUGGCAGCAUCCUUUGGCAGAGGUGCUUGGGUGAUGUCUUGGACAUGUUCUUUAUCAGGUUCAAUGCCCUGUGCUGUCACAGUUUGUCCCAGAAAUUGCAGACUAGUCUGUCUGCAUUGACACUGAUUUGCAUUGGUGCACAGACCUGCAUUGUGUCAAGAGACCUGACCACACCAACCAUCGCAAGAGUUGGAAUCAGGCCAGCAGAGCCUCCUCAUGAUUCUCAACAGAGAGCAGAAUGGGACAAGAAGAGGAGUCACAAGAGAGAUCGAGAAGCAGGCCAAAGGGAGAGGAAGAUCAAGAAACAGAGAGAAGAGAAGUCAUUUUUAAUGCUGGCAAAUAUAUAACGUGAGUAAUGAUUAUAUGCUUAAUGCCAAGGUAUGAUUUGCAUGUACUGUAAUAAUCAGUGUGUUUCAAUGUAAGGUGGUGGUUAGAAAAGAAUGUAAUAGAAAGGAAUGUAUUGCAUAAAGGGUGUGUGUGCUAUAUUAGACGUUAAUAGUACAAAGUGCACUUUUCAGAGCAGAAGUAGCUGGCAGAAAGCAGAAGUGCCAGAGGCUCUCAGGUGGAAAAACUAGUUUUGAGACAGCACAAGAAAGUYCCUGACAAGUGCUGUUACCAAGGAAACGAGAUUACUUCAUUCUAGAAAGUACAAGAAAAAUCUGCGCCCAACCUACUCGCAAGGGUAGAAGAGGGGGGUGAGCGGGCCCAAAGACAGUAUAAAAAGGGAGCGGCUUUGACAGUAAACUCGUCUUCUUGCCCCUACUGGAGAAGAGGCAGCAAGAARCAAGGACAGCCCAAGAAGAGGAGCAAGCAGAUCCAAAGGACAUCUCAUCUGGGAAACGCUGACAAACUUCUCUCCAGCGAUCUACGGACCGAAGACCAGAUAAAAACCAGCCCAGCUCUGAGAAGUCMUUUUUAGGCAAAAGUCUGCUGCUUCUCAUGGAGGUAAAAGAGAUACGACUCCAAGCUGUUGCGCUUUCUCAAAAUUAACAGAAAAUGCCACACACCCUGGUCAUAAAGAUAGGCCAGAGCCUUAGAGAUUUUUAAUUUUUACCACCAUCAAUUAUUACUGAAUAUUCUUAAUCUGUAUAAU